CUUGUGCUAAUGCAAAAUAUGUCAUUGGUAUAUAAUAUUCUUCACUGCAUAAAGACUACAUAAAGACUGCAUAUUUAACAACCCUUUUUCAAAGCAACCUAAGACACACAACCUUCUACCUAAGCUCUGCCUUACUUUCACAUUACUUCUCCUUCACUUAAAGCUAAAGUAAAGCUAGAGCCCCUACUCUAUUUAACGAAACAGGGAAAGGAAAGAGGAGAAUCAGGGUUAGCGCAAGUGAUCGAAUAAGGAAUCCAAAUUCUUAGAUUCGCCAUGGGCCAAAAGAAAGGAUUCGCCUUGCCCUCGAAACCUGAAGCUCGGACCUUCGGUUUCACUUAAUCCUUCAUGCUAUCAUCAUCUCAAUUACAAUUCAUCUUCAGUAAAAACAUAAUACAAAAGAAAAUGGUUAAUGCCCAUGACAACACAAACAAGUACAACAUCAUUUUCCCAUAUUUCUUCUCUUCUAGUAAUUUCCUUUUCAGCUUCU
rnacentral:lncRNA from 1 species